CAAUAGCGUAUAUUUAAGUUGCUGCAGUUAAAAAGCUCGUAGUUGGAUUUCGGGUGGGAAUGGCCGGUCCGCCGUUUCGGUGUGCACUUGCUACGCCCACCUUGCUGCCGGGGACGUGCUCUUGAGUUCACGCUCGGGACACGGAGUCGGCGAGGUUACUUUGAGUAAAUUAGAGUGUUCAAAGCAGGCCUACGCUCUGAAUACAUUUGCAUGGAAUAACACGAUAGGACUCUGGCCUAUCUUGUUGGUCUGUAGGACCGGAGUAAUGAUUAAGAGGGACAGUCGGGGGCAUUCGUAUUUCAUUGUCAGAGGUGAAAUUCUUGGAUUUAUGAAAGACGAACUACUGCGAAAGCAUUUGCCAAGGAUGUUUUCAUUAA
rnacentral:rRNA from 1 species